UAGAAACCUGUUCUAAUUCCAGGACUGUUGCAACUUGGGAUGUGUGUGAAAGAUUAUUUGGGAGCACUGCUGGGGAAAACAGUGUCCCUAGGUGAUAUCUAGAUUUUAGUUAGAACAGGAAGUGGAAGAAACAUUGAGACCAAAGGAGGGUAUACACGACUUUGUAUAUUCAGUGGUCACAUAGGAGGAGUUUACAUUGUGAAAGAAUGAGUCACUUCAGAUAUAUACAGAGCCUUGAAUCUUUAAGAGUCCAGAUGAUAAGGAAGCACAGCAUAGCUUAAACUACUUAGGAUGCUGACAGACACAAGGACACAGGAAGCAUUUGGAUAAAUUCUGAAGAUUCACUAUAUGAAUGUGUUAACUUGUUCAAAUUAGGCUGUGCUAAAGGAAGAUCUUUUAGACAGUUUAUAGUGCUUGGACAGAAAAGGUUGGGGAUCAGAAAAAGUGGUGGUUUCACCAUAUGCGUGAGGAAUUUUCAGAUGCUCUACCUUCAUCCUUGAUACAACAGACAUGUCUACAUCAUAUCACACAUGAAGUACAUACUUCACUUCUGGUCUCUCUUCAGUUGAAACGUGCUAUUACUCCACUGAAGGAAAAUUUGCUUUCAACUGAUGGACUGUACAGAGAGAGGAGCACUUUUGGAAUAAUCCUCACAGCCUAAAGGCCAAUGAUGACACAGAUGGUGAUGUUUUUAAGGAGGUGAUUGAUAGAAGAUAUUUGAUCCCUUUGGUUUGGAGUCUACCAACUGAGAUAAAGGAGAAGAGCUGAGAAGCCUUGUAACAUUAGUAUUCUUUGUCUCUUUGUGGAUGACCCUUUCACAUUAAUAUCGACAUCAGAAACUGAAUUCAAGAAAAGAAAGGGAGAGUCACACAUUCUUUCAAUAAUCCUUUGUCAGUGAACAUUUGAGCACCAUAGGAAGCCAAAUCAGACAUCACUUAAAAUAGUUUUUGGGUCAAGAUUACAAAAAAAAGGAAGACAGGAAAGAACAGUGGAAUCAGCAGGAAUGUGUCCCCUAAAGUCCCUUAAACUAAGUUGGAACACAACCCAGAGCAAGUUAGCUAGAGCACUUCUCAGUGGGAUCAUGCCCACUGAAAGGCAUUAACCACAAAUUGUUCUCAGAAAGUGUUUCCUUUCAAAACUGAAAGUCAUUGGGAAAAAGGAGGUUUCUUGCUAGGAAACUUUAAAUGAAACAUGCAUACCAAAUUUUACUGUUUAUGAAAUACGUAAUCAAACUUGAAAAUAAGGAUCUUAAAUUGUGGAAGAUCAGUUUUAGUGCGAUUCUUAUCUCUCAAGGUCAUAUGUAUGGUAAUUGAAAACCUAUUCUAUAACUGUUGACUAGUGUUCACAGGUUUUACCAAUGUGUGGGAAAUUUUUUUAAAAAGUAAUAAUAAACAACAUUCUUCUGUUUUUGUUAGGGAUUAGUAUUUUUCAGUUGGAUAUAGAGUUAAUUUUUAGAGUCACAAAUGUGACUAUGGCUAUCAAACACAAAAUAAAGAGCUAUUUAUAUGCAGAGAACUUUUCAGUUCAUACAAUGAAGAGAAAAAUAAAAUUUCAGCAUCACAUGCAUCUUUGACACAUCUCUAAUAAACUGUUCAGUAUAAUUCACAUAUUCAGUAGACCACAAUAUUUACUAUUUUUCUUCAGAGACUUUCCUAUUCACUUCCCUUAUGUCGAUUUUAAAUAUUCAGGCUGUUUGUUUAUUUUUUAAAUGUCUAUCCAAACUCAGAUACACACUAUGAAAGCAAAAUAAUGUAUGUCCAGUAUUUUAUCAGUUAAUUUGAAUUUUAAUUUUUUAAAGAUUUAAUUGCUCCAAUGGCAAGUAUAAUUUCUUAUCAUUUAAAGAAUAUUAAAAACUAUAUAAACUAGAUAAAAUUAAUUAAUUAAUUAAAUUCCUAUACAGUUUUCAUAAAGCUUGUGCAAAUUAUCUUACUUCAUAGAAAUUGGGAAACAAAAACGAAUGUGAAAAUAUGGUUCAUUUUAUUUUACUAUUGCAACUAUGUGUUUUUAACUGACUACCUGUAAAAUAAAAGCUUAAAAGAUUGCAUUUUAGAUGUAGUUGAAUUAAUUUCUAUAGUUUUUAAGUUUGUAUUUAGAAUUGGAGAGCUAUUUGUAGUCUCAAACCAUAAAUAAGAUUUGAUUUCAUUGUUUAGCAGACUGUACAAUGUAAAAAAAAUUAUCAAAAAAAUAAAAAUUUUAAACUAGCAUAUACUUUUCUAUAAUCAGUUUUAUGUCUGGAUUAAUUUUAUUGACAUUUUCUUUCAUUAAACAUGUCAUAAAAAUAAGA
rnacentral:lncRNA from 10 species